rnacentral:rRNA from 1 species
CAACAGCGUAUAUUAAAGUUGUUGCAGUUAAAAAGCUCGUAGUUGGAUUUCUGGUGGGAGCGAUCGGUCUGGCGCUUAGCGCGAGUACUUGCAUCGUCUCCGGCCAUCCUUGGGGAGAGUCUGUCUGGCAUUAGGUUGUCGGGCAGAGGAUCCUCAUCGUUUACUGUGAAAAAAUUAGAGUGUUCAAAGCAGGCUUAUGCCGUUGAAUAUAUUAGCAUGGAAUAAUAAGAUAGGACUUUGGUACUAUUUUGUUGGUUUGCGCACCAAAGUAAUGAUUAAUAGGGACAGUUGGGGGUAUUCGUAUUCCGUUGUCAGAGGUGAAAUUCUUGGAUUUACGGAAGACGAACUACUGCGAAAGCAUUUACCAAGGAUGUUUUCAUUAA